GGGGGUUUCAUAAUUCAGGUUUCUAUCUUAUUGUGGUUAAACAAGUUAUUUUCCAUUAAUGGAUUCUAUCUGUCAUUUCAGUCGACUUUGGACACAGCUGGGACCUGGACCCGCAAACUGGGUUGUGCCACGAAGCGGAAGGGACACCACAUUGGAUGGCACCCGAGGCCAUAAGGCAGAAGGGCCAGCGCCUGGCGUACGACACCAAAUGUGACAUCUGGUCGCUGGGGAUAACCGCCAUCGAAAUGGCUGAAGGAAAACCACCAUACACAGGGCAAUAUCCAGUUGAGGACCUGAUAAUUGAAGCCCAACCACCGAAGCUUCAAUCGAACACCUGGUCACAGCAUUUUGUGUCCUUCUUGGAGUCCUGUCUGAAAAAGGAUCCUUCGGAGAGAGCGAGUGCUGAAGAACUCCUGCAGCACCCAUUCGUCACCCAAAUACCACCUAAGAAGAUCGUCAGGGCUGAGAUAGAAGAACAUCUCCGGACUCUGCAGAACUUGCCGGCCAAGAAAGGACUGAAGGGAGUUGCUCUCUCAAAGCUGCGGCGUGCUUGUGACUUCUGCACACAGACAUCGGCAGAACAAGAAGCAGCUCUGCAAAUGGCCCUGGAAGGCUUCUCCUGUUAUUGAUAUUGUGGCCAAUAACAUCAACAGCCCAGAAUCAGUUUCCUAAAUCACAGCCAAGGAAAAAGAAACAUCCACAGGAUCCAGUGGCAUUUGCAGCUCCACCAGCAACAUCUCCUUUCAAGCUGAUGCAGUUCAGCAAGUGGUAACUUCAAGAUUCCUGCAACAACACCAGCAGGGACUUUAUCUCCUCGAUCAUAUUCUUUUCAGACCACCACAUCUCCACCAGUGGAGUCUUUGCUUCAUUUUACCUCACUCCACCCACACACAUCUCCACCUCAGUUUGAGGUGCCAUAGUUCCAUCCAUCUUCCUUUUUUUGCAGACUACUACAACCCCAACAUCUUGCCUUAAGCAUCUACAUUUCACAGAACCAUAGCUCCAACAUUCAUAUCUACCUCUACAGCUCCAGCAGCAUUCACAUUUUCAAACACCAUAGCUCCACUAUUAGGACCUUAGUUUUCAUUAGUAUCCAAUUACCAAUCUACCCAAGGACUUUUAAUUUAACUUUAGCUCCAUCACGAGCCCUUAUUCCAUAUUUUACCUCUAACCGCAAGCUCUGUCCUUGUGCUAACACACCUCCACCAAUAUCUUCUUUUAUUUACAUAUCAUCAAGAGUUUCUCCUCUUUAAAAUAUCUUUUAAUCCUUGCCCUUCUUACUACACCUCCAUUUAGUCACCACCACACAGCACACACUAAAAUGAUGCCCUCUACGCAGAGGCUUCUCUUCUCCAUUUUUUUCUUUUGCCUCCCCCCCUGCAAUCUCCUAACAACAAUUCCUCAGUGGUUUGACUAUGAAGCUUUUCAUUCAUCCAGGUCAUGGUAUAUCUAGUAUAGGUAAA